GCGGGUAUAGUUUAGUGGUAAAACCCUAGCCUUCCAAGCUAACAAUGCGGGUUCGAUUCCCGCUACCCGCU
rnacentral:tRNA from 1 species